GACGUAGGGCGCGAGCGUUGUCCGGAUUUAUUGGGCGUAAAGAGCUCGUAGGCGGCUUGUUGCGUCGGCUGUGAAAUCCCGUGGCUUAACUGCGGGCUUGCAGCUGAUACGGGCGGGCUGGAGUUCGGUAGGGGGAGACUGGAAAUUCCUGGUGUAGCGGUGAAAUGCGCAGAUAUCAGGGAGGGAAACACCCGGGUGGCGAAGGCGGGGUCUCUGGGGCCGAUACUGACGCUGGAGGAGCGAAAAGCGUGGGGGAGCGAAACAGG
rnacentral:rRNA from 1 species